rnacentral:rRNA from 1 species
AUUGAACGCUGGCGGCAUGCCUUACACAUGCAAGUCGAACGGUAACAGGUCUUCGGAUGCUGACGAGUGGCGAACGGGUGAGUAAUACAUCGGAACGUGCCCGAUCGUGGGGGAUAACGAAGCGAAAGCUUUGCUAAUGCCGCAUAAGAUCUACGGAUGAAAGCAGGGGACCGCAAGGCCUUGCGCGAACGGAGCGGCCGAUGGCAGAUUAGGUAGUUGGUGGGAUAAAAGCUUACCAAGCCGACGAUCUGUAGCUGGUCUGAGAGGACGACCAGCCACACUGGGACUGAGACACGGCCCAGACUCCUACGGGAGGCAGCAGUGGGGAAUUUUGGACAAUGGGCGCAGGCCUGAUCCAGCCAUGCCGCGUGCAGGAUGAAGGCCUUCGGGUUGUAAACUGCUUUUGUACGGAACGAAAAGACUCUGGUUAAUACCUGGGGUCCACGACGGUACCGUAAGAAUAAGCACCGGCUAACUACGUGCCAGCCGCCGCGGUAAAAC